GGCCUAUUAACUCAAUUGGUUAGAGCGUCAUGAUAAUAACCUGAGAGUUAUAGGUUCGAAUCCUGCAUGAGUCA
rfam:Glycine max cultivar Williams 82 chromosome 11, whole genome shotgun sequence.